rnacentral:rRNA from 1 species
GAUGAACGCUGGCGGCGUGCCUAAUACAUGCAAGUCGAGCGAACAGACGAGGAGCUUGCUCCUCUGACGUUAGCGGCGGACGGGUGAGUAACACGUGGAUAACCUACCUAUAAGACUGGGAUAACUUCGGGAAACCGGAGCUAAUACCGGAUAAUAUAUUGAACCGCAUGGUUCAAUAGUGAAAGACGGUUUUGCUGUCACUUAUAGAUGGAUCCGCGCCACAUUAGCUAGUUGGUAAGGUAACGGCUUACCAAGGCAACGAUGCGUAGCCGACCUGAGAGGGUGAUCGGCCACACUGGAACUGAGACACGGUCCAGACUCCUACGGGAGGCAGCAGUAGGGAAUCUUCCGCAAUGGGCGAAAGCCUGACGGAGCAACGCCGCGUGAGUGAUGAAGGUCUUCGGAUCGUAAAACUCCGUUAUUAGGGAAGAACAAAUGUGUAAGUAACUAUGCACGUCUUGACGGUACCUAAUCAGAAAGCCACGGCUAACUACGUG